AUACGGAGGGUGCAAGCGUUAAUCGGAAUUACUGGGCGUAAAGCGCGCGUAGGUGGUUUGGUAAGUCAGAUGUGAAAGCCCUGGGCUCAACCUAGGAACUGCAUUUGAAACUGUCUGACUAGAGUAUGGUAGAGGGAAGUGCAAUUCCACAUGUAGCGGUGAAAUGCGUAGAGAUGUGGAGGAACACCAGUGGCGAAGGCGACUUCCUGGACCAAUACUGACACUGAGGUGCGAAAGCGUGGGGAGCAAACAGGAUUAGAAACCCUAGUAGUCC
rnacentral:rRNA from 1 species